rnacentral:rRNA from 1 species
GAUGAACGCUGGCGGCGUGCCUAAUACAUGCAAGUCGAGCGAACAGAUAAGGAGCUUGCUCCUUUGACGUUAGCGGCGGACGGGUGAGUAACACGUGGAUAACCUACCUAUAAGACUGGGAUAACUUCGGGAAACCGGAGCUAAUACCGGAUAACAUUUGGAACCGCAUGGUUCUAUAGUGAAAGAUGGUUUUGCUGUCACUUAUAGAUGGAUCCGCGCCGCAUUAGCUAGUUGGUAAGGUAACGGCUUACCAAGGCAACGAUGCGUAGCCGACCUGAGAGGGUGAUCGGCCACACUGGAACUGAGACACGGUCCAGACUCCUACGGGAGGCAGCAGUAGGGAAUCUUCCGCAAUGGGCGAAAGCCUGACGGAGCAACGCCGCGUGAGUGAUGAAGGGCUUCGGAUCGUAAAACUCUGUUAUUAGGGAAGAACAAAUGUGUAAGUAACUAUGCACGUCCUGACGGUACCUAAUCAGAAAGCCACGGCUAACUACGUG